ACAAAUGUAUUAACAAGUUUUUUUGUUAAAAUAAUAAAAAUGAAUGAAAAUCUUAUACAACGAAUCAAAAACUUUAAUAUCAAUGAGUGAAUUUUAUGAGUGAAAUUUGAUUAAGAGAUUCUAUAAAAUGAUUUACUUCAAAAAAUGACACUGUAUUAUGAUAAUAUAAUGCUUAAAACAUUUUUGUUAACAUAAAUGUGUUAUUUAAAGAUUGUUGAUCUAUUUAUUCAUACAACUGAAGUAAAAAUAAUUACAUGUAGCAGUAGAAACUUGUACAUUAUAAUUACCACAUAAGUUGAUACUUCAUUUUAUGGUUAUGUUUUACUUUGUAUAGUGUAUAAUAAAAUAACAAAAUUUGUAAAAACGCAAUUGUAAUUAAGUGAUUUACGUGAGAUAAAUAAUGACAAUGGAUAUUUACCAAGAGAUCUUAAUUAACAAAUGUGUACAGUAUUACACGGAACUUAUAUCCUCCAGAUGGAAAAAAAUGUAUUACAUAUCAACUUCAAAAUAUAAGGAAUUGGAAAUAUUAUUCUAAAUGUUAAAGCUAAGAAAAUAUAAAAUUUCAAUUAUAAGUGCCAAAAACAAGAUGGAUACUUCUAUAACAUUUAACAAAUGGACUACCUGGAUAUAAAGUAAUGAUUACUGGACUUAUGAUAUACAGAGGAGGUAUUAUUUUAUUAAAAGAAAGUAAAUUUAGAGAAAUUGAUGGAGAAAUAAAAAAUUUAUCCAUCAUCAAUGCAUUAGAAAAUGUUCUAACUUGAACUUUGUAAGUUUUUAAAAUAAUCAAUGAGAAUUUAUUAUUUAUGUUUAUAAUAUUUUUAAGUAUUUGAAUAUUCCAAAAACUGUUCAAAAAAUACAGACUUCUAUACAAUAAAGCUUAGAAGAUAAUGAAAAACCACUUGCUACAAAUGAUCUCUUUGAAGAUGAUUUUGAAAUCAAUUUGGAAGAAAUUACACAAAUUGAGCAAUGAAGUCAAGAGAUAGAUAACAUAUGCUAUAAAUAUACUAAAUAGAUUAGAAUAAAUAAACUAACCAGAAUAACUUGUCUAGUACAAAAAAUAUUAAAUAACAAAAUUUUAUUUAUCCAAAAGAUUCAUCAAAACAGAAUGACAAACAUAAAAAGAAUAAUAUUACUGAAACUUUCGAUACAGUUAAUAAGUUGUUAGAAAUAAUAAAUAAAAAUCACUUUAUCGCGUUUAUCUCAUGUACAAUUAUCAAUAACAAAAAGAAAGAAUUUCGAGUAUUAUUUAAAGAAGAUAAUGAUCAAAAUAUGAGAGAUGAUAUAAUAAUAAUGAAAGUUCUGUUAGCAGUUGAAAAGAGAAUAUUAAAAUACUAAAUGACAUGUUAUUUCAAAGGAUGAUUUCAAAUUUGGUGAUGUUGAUGUUCCAGAAGCUUUAGAAAAGAAGAUUUAGUAAAAAAUAAUAAAAAAUGUUAAUGAAAUGAAAUUUUCAACUAAGUAAAUCAUUCUUGCGAAACAUUAAUUCCAUAAAAGGCAAAAAUUCCUUCGAAAUAUUAAACUUAAAACAUACAGCAUUAAUACAAAUGAAACAUCAUCUAAUGCACAAGUUGAUCGUUAAAAAAAAAUUGGAGAUAAAAGAUCUAUAGUACGAUUUAAUAUUUUCAGCAAACAUUAAUAUAUAAUAGACAGAAUUGUGUAUAAAAUAUAAUAUUUGUAUUUUAGGAAUUAAUGUAACCAUCAUUUAUUAAUUGAUCAAAAAUACGCUGUAUUUCAAAGAAAGUAUGAUCAAAGAAACAUAAAAUCAAGAAAAUAAUGUAAAAAGAUUUUCUGACUUUAUAAAAGCAAAAAAGUUACAAGAAUAAAUAGCAUUGAAAAUUUUAACUUUAUUUGUUAUGCAAUUGAAAAAAUGAUUAUAGAAAGAUUUUUUGGAUUUAGCGUUAAGGGAUUUCCCCAAAAAAAGGAAACAUGCAGAAACUAAUGGUAAUAUAGAAUAUAAAUUAAGAAUGGUAAUAUUUUAAGAUAUGUUAAUCAUAAUAUUUUAUCAUACAUAAUUGUAUUAUUUAUUACACAUAUGCUGUUAUGUAUUUUAUCUAUGUACAUUUUAGUGAUAUUUUAGAUUUGCCAUAAUGCAGAAAAAUUGAACAAUUGGAUGUUUUAUUAGAAUUGAAAUUGAAACUAAAUCACAAAGUAAAAGUUGUAAACAUUAGGCCGUUAAGUGAUUAAUAUAAAGGAAAUAAUUGAUAAAUUGAUGAAGACACUAAAGAUUUAUAAAAUUCUACCUCAUAUAAUUUUACAUAAAGAUUCGUUUAUAUUAUCAUUAUUAUAUCAUGUUAUUUGUAUUACUACUACUAUGAUCUUUACAUUUUUUCUUAUUGCAAAUCAAUCACAACUAAGUUGAUUUAACAAAUGAUACCAUUCUAAUUAUAUUACAAUCAAUUUUAUAUUUAAAAUUUUAAUGAUUUGUUUUUUUUUAAUGAAUAAAUAAAUUAUUUAGAAUAAUAUUUAUUAUUGUUUUAAAUUUUGUCUAUGUAAAGAAUUCGAAAUGCUCCAAUUUGAAACUCAAAAGAAAAUAAGUUGAAGGGAAAAAAGUGAAUUCAUUCUGAAGUUUUUUUUUUAAUCUUCUAUAAUGGUACUACACUUUUAUAUCACCAUACUUUGAUUAUGUAAAAGCAAUGGGUAAGAGCAAUUAUACCUUGCUUUUUAGUAUCGUAGAAUUUAAAUCUAAUUUGAGUGAUGAAAACGAAUAGUAAAAUUAUUUCUUUUUAUUUUCUUGUAUUUUAUAAAUCUAAAAAAUUAAAUUAAAAAUUAUACUUCCAAUAUUAAUCUUUUUUUAUAUACACAUUGUUUGUCAUAAAAAUAUUUAAUAUUAUUUAUUAUUAUAUUUUGAAAGCUUUUUUAUUAUUAUAAAAAUGUUUGUUCUUAACGCAAAUCGAGUUCAAACGAUAUUAUUGAGCUACUUAAAAUCUACUUUUUAUUUACUUGUUAAAGUUCUAUUCUUAUUAUAAUUUUAAGAAGACUACCAAAAUAUACCUUUUAAUAAAAGUCUAAUAUUAAAAGUAUGAUAAUAAAUCCUUCUUUUAUUUUUUACCUACAAAAUCGAUUUAGUACUCAAUCUAUUAAUGGAGAAAGAAAAAGAAAGAGUAAGAGUUUGAAAAAAGUUUAAUAGUUCGAUGAUAAAGAAAAUUAAAAACUUUCCUCUGUUCGAAAACGAUUAAUAUAGGACGAAAAAGAUAUUUCUUAGAACAAUAAACAUAAUGAUAAAAUCUUUUGUCACUAACUUUUUACUGUUCACGAGUUAUUUUUACAUUUAAUGGAAUUCAAUCGAAUCAAAUAAACGAGAAGAAAAAUUUUUCAUUAGUUUGGCUGAAUGUUCAUGGGGAUGAACAUUCCCAUACAUUCCUUCUCAUAAAAAAAAAAAAAGGAAUAUUCACUAGAGUAAGUUCAAAUUCAGAAAAUCAUAGGAAGUUACAGCAAGAGAGAGGGAAGGAGAGAGAGAGAUAGAGAGAAUAAAUUUAAUGAAUUAGUCAUCGCUUUCUGAGAGAAUGAGAAUAGUAAAAGAGAGAGGAUGGUGAUAGUUUAGGAAGUGAUCAUGUCAUUUUGUCUUUGUGAACUUUUCUCUGAUCUCAAAAGGUCAAAAAGAGAAGAAUCGAAAGAAGGGCUGGCAAUGGAUAUCAUCAAUUUUUCGAAUAAGGAUGGUCAAAUAAUGAAAUGUAAGGAAAAUUUCAAAAUCUAAAUCCAUUUUUUUAACGGAAUUAUAAAUUUUUCUUUUCGAUGGCGUUUAUCGAGACGACUUUAACAACAAGCCAUAUGAGGUCAUUUAUUAUCGUAAAAUAUUAUAAAUUAUAUUAUAAAUUUAUUGUUGAAAAGAUUUUAAUGAUACGGCUGAAUUGUAUCCUGAUUGGUUUAAGGAUGUUACCUGAAAUAUACUAUGACUGGUUAUCGCAACGACUAAAUCUAGAAAAAUUUACAAUUAUAUGGUGGUUAGACGCCAUAUUGGUUUGUUUCGAGAGGAUUAUUGGCGGAUAAAUGGACGAAUUGUGAGUCGUGCAUGUCCAAAGGUUACCAUGAAUCGUUAUCAAUAAAUCGUGAGCAAUCGUGGAGAGUGUCACGACCAAACAAGAAUGAAAUCUCGUCUCUCAUUUCCUCUUCUCUUUCUCUCUUUCACUACUCCAUUUCCCUUAGAACGGUGAAUCCAAAUCGACCAGAUGUCUGUAGGCGGGACCAGUCCCUUCUCCUGGGAGGGUUAAAGAAACCGUUUCUAGCGUAAUCGAACGCUGACAGCUAUAAGUAUCGUACCGUUGUCAUUGCGUACACGGUGUCUUACCGCAAACAAACAGUACAGACCUGCGUUGCAUUCACAUAUCCUUUUGUUUUUUUUUAACUUAAAAAUAAAUCAAUUUUAAGGCCCAUAGAUUUUACAAUCUUUGAUUUUAUAAAACAUUAUAAAACAUAUAAAACUAUCAUAAAAAGUACUGUUCGUUUAGUAACUUUGAUUACAUUAAUCUUAGAAAAAUAAUUAACCGUAAUUUAAUCUAACUUAUUUAUGUAUGUAGUUCAAGUACUUUGGACGAUAAUAUUGCACGCAACAUUAUAAUAUAACUGUUAACAA